ACUUAUGAAGGAUAAUAGCCAUCCGUUGGCUUUAGGCGCC
rnacentral:tRNA from 1 species